AGUCGCACGAGUUUAGACUCGUGGCGAAAAGCUCAGUGACACGUGGCCAAACUGCCCUAUGGACCAGGAUACUCUCGGGAAACUGAGGCUAAUCCUGGAUACGGCUCUCAGCCUGGAACGGCGAGAGCCGGAAACGCUCCGGCGCCAUAGGAUGUGGCUGCGGCCGAUUAGGUUGACGGUGGGGUAACGGCCCACCGUGCCAAUAAUCGGUACGGGUUGUGAGAGCAAGAACCCGGAGACGGUAUCUGAGACAAGAUACCGGGCCCUACGGGGCGCAGCAGGCGCGAAACCUUUACACUGCACGACAGUGCGAUAAGGGGACUCCGAGUGCGAGGGCAUACAGUCCUCGCUUUUCUGUACCGUAGGGU
rnacentral:rRNA from 1 species